rnacentral:tRNA from 1 species
CGGAGCAUGUCGCAGCUGGGUAGCGUACCGUCUCGCUCGGGGUGAUGGAGGUCGCGUGUUCAAACCCCGUCGUCCCGCUGCUCCGA